AGAAAAAAAGAACUAAGAAAGUAAAUGCUUGCAAGUGGCACCAUUUCCUGGUUGUGCUCCAACGAUGUUGCAGCAGGGAAAGGAGGAAGCCCUAAAACUGAGAGUCUGAAACCAUAGCUGCUGCUGAAGUCUAGUCACCAUGGAUGGAUCUAUGAUUUUGGAAAGAGCUAAAGAGUCUCCAGUGCUGUCAAAUAGGAGAAGAGAAACGAAGAUCAGCUUGCAGACAGCAUAACUGCCCUAAGAAAGGUUACAGUAAUAGAUGCCAUACAGGGAGAACUUCAGAGAAAAUUAGAAAUCAUCUUCUUCACCUAAUCUACUCCAGAAGAGAUCAACUCAGGAAGGAAACCACCGCAUGCUACAACAACUUAAAAGAGAAAAAUCUAGACAUCUUCCCUAAUAUUAUACAAUGUAUACAAAGAGACUACCAAAGAUUUUCUACAACAUCCAUCCAAGAUAAAAAGAAGAAAUUAAACCAAUUAUUCCAGGAACAACUUUCCCAACCACAAAACAACCAUCAGAGAAAUAACACCAAUACCUUAAAACAUUACGACUUCAGAUUCAAUGUUGGAUGCUGGAUGUUACCAGCUUAUAUACCAACCUCCCACACCAGGAUGGCAUCCAAGCCUGUCUUACAUACUUAAAAGAGCAAGAUGACAAUUCAGAGUACAGACCCAAACAUAUUACUGACCGUAUGCACUUCAUCCUCACACACAACUUCACUUUCAAUAACCAACAUUUUCUCCAGACCCUGGGCACAACUAUAGGCACCAAAAUGGCCCCACAGCAUGCCAACCAUUUUAUAAGCCAACUUGAAAAAGAAUACCAAAAGGACUGCACCAUCAAGCCCUUGCUAUACUUAAAAUAUAUUGAUGACAUUGUCAUCAUUUGGACUGAAAACCUGCAAUCUCUGAUUGUUUUCCAUCAGAAAUUCAACAAUCAUCACCCCUCCAUCAAACUAUCUCUUGAAUACUCCAACACCAACAUCUCCUUUUUAGACACGAUGAUCACCAUCCAGAAUCGUAAAAUACAGACCAUAAUAUACAAGAAACCCAUGGACCAACAUACAUAUCUGCACAGAACCAGCAAUCACCCUAAACACACCAAGCUGUAACAUACAGCCAAGCUCUCCAAUAGCACCAAAUUUGCACUGAGGAGAAUACCCGUGAUCACCUCACAAAUCUCAAAAAGGCUUUCACUCAACAAGGGCACUCCUCCAAAGAGAUAGAUCACACUUUUAAAGAAAUCUUUCCAAAACUACCCAUCCAAGCCUUUAAACAAGCACCAAACCUCGCUAGCCUCAUCACCAGAAGCAAACUUCCUACAGCCAAAAACACAACUAACGGAUCCAGACCAUGCCAUGACAAGAAAUGCUAAACCUGCCAAUACAUCUCUACCACCCCCACAAUUACUACACCCCACAACAGAACCAUCAGCAUUCCUGGAUUUUAUAGCUGCACCUCCAGAAAUGUAAUAUAUUUCAUGCAAUGCACCAAAUGCCCUGACGGAAAAAAUAUAGGAGAGAUCAAACAACAAAUGAGCACCAGAAUUAAUGCACACUGGAAAUCUAUCAAAGACAAGAAUACCCAAUUACCUGUGGGGGCACAUUUCUCACAACCAAGCCACUCUCCAAUCUCUCAGUUCUAAUCCUCAAAGGGAAUUUAGAAAACACUUUUCAUAGAUGAGUCUAUGAACUUCACUUCAUCAACCUCGUGGAUACAAAAAAAUCAUGGACUAAAUGACAUUGGAUGUAUGGCACAUUUUAACCUUCCUAACAUUUGACUCCUCAGGUACCUCUCCACUAUUUACCAGCUACAAUUAUUCCCCCCCAACAACCUGUUUCACCCAUUGACUCCUAUUUAUGUUGUCACUGACUGCCUUUCUUGCAUGCAUACCAGCCUCUGGAUUCUUAACUAUUCACGAAGAGCACACACCAACUGCAGAUGCUUCCUCAGCCUGACGAAGGGUGUUUGUGCCCAAAACCUUGCAAAGAAGAUUUUUUUUCCAACUGUUUGAGUUGGUCUAAUAAAAGACAUCAGACCCCUGAAACCUUGUCUCCCUUCAAGUUGGGGGGCUGUGUGUAAGGAUUAGCUACCUUGUCCUUCCAAAAAAGACAAUAUUUGCAGUCCCUCUUUAAGUUUCCCAUAGAGAAGGCCACAUAUCUCUAUUUAAAAGAAUAAACAGAAAAAAAGGGUUGUUUGGAAGGUCAGAUACAGCUAAUGGGGUCUUAUGGAAAAAUUCAUCCCUCACUUGCCCAGUAGGACCUCAUUAUGCAGAGAAGAGAUGAACAGAUUCCUCUCACUCCUACUAUGGGGAAAACAGUAUUAACUGAAAGGGGCAAGGGUUGGGGGUGGCAGGGAGAUAGGGGUGACCACCUCAGGCACACACUUAGGUUCAGGGUGAGGGCAAAAAAAAGCAGCUGUUGCCAGCAGCCCCGUUUAUCUUUGCAAUUGUGGUGGCAAUUGAAAGUCACCACUUCCACUUGGGUGGCUAGCCAUGGGUGGCCAGCCAUGUCCCUACACCGCUGGUAUGGGGUGUUCCAAAGAUGAGCCUGCAAACACAACUGGAACCCUCAACUUUCUACAACUGGCCAUUGAGAGAAAUUGGGAGGUAAAAAGAAGUGAACUUUCAAAGAUGGUCUAAUAAAAAGGUGCCCACCCCAAGUCAGAUUUCCCUGUAAGCAUUCCUAAGGUUUCUUUAACCAUUCAUACUAGCUCAUGAAGUCUGUAUCCACAUGUGGGCCACAGGAAAGCUGCUUAGUAAGAUCAGAAGCAGAGCAUGGCACGUGCCCCUUAAAGCUGGAUGCUGUUACCUUAGCAAUAGGCGUAGAUUGUCCUGCUUCU